rnacentral:ncRNA from 1 species
UCAGUUUGAUUCUGGCUGAAAACUUAACUAUCUUAAAUCAAUAUACAUGUAAGUUCAGGCUGCCCCGCAAUCAUAAACUUCCUAAAAGGAUAAAUUACUAUAUUAAGAUUCCUAAAUGUAGUAGAGCGCCACAGUAAGUAAUACUAAAAUUCUGCAAAAGCAGGAAUUGGACAUUAAUUUAAGGGUUGGCAAAAUUCGUGCCAGCUGCCGCGGUUAGACGAUAAACCCAAGUUAACUAUAAGACGACUAAAUAUAGGAUGCACUAAACAGUUUUAAAGGUCUAAUUUAGCAACCUGAGGCUCCAAAGCAUCAAAAAUUUUAUGAAAACAUAAACUAAAACACGGAUUAGAUACCCGUCUAUUUAUGUAGUAAACAAAGUCGAAAAAUACGAACUAUAGUUUAAAACUCAAAGAUUUUGGCGGUGCCUUAUCAAACCAGGGGAACCUGUCUCAUAACUCGAUAAUCCACGAACACCUUACCUCUUCUAGAUUCAUCAGCUUGUGUACUGCCGUCGUAAGCAUACCUCUAAAAGCAACUUUAGCAUGCAAAUAUGGCCCCCACCCCAUUUACGUCAGGUCAAAGUGCAGCCCAUGAAGAGGUGAUGAUGGGUUACACCCUAAAUAAAGACACGAAAUAUAGAUUUAAACCCUAUAUAAAGGUGGACUUGGCCGUAAUAUUGAUCCAAAAUUAAAAUGAAAAUGAAUCUAAGACAUGCACACAUCGCCCGUCACUCUCGCCUAAAGGUGAGAUAAGUCGUAACAAAGUAGGUGUAACGGAAGUUGCACCUGU